rnacentral:misc_RNA from 1 species
AUAUACAAUCUCAGGGAAGUAGUUCAUCUUCAGAGUCCUCUCCCAGUCGAGAGAUUUCACCAUUGGAUGGUGUAAUAGAAGACAUGCAGUCGAGAAUUAAAAGGCUUGAACGAUGGCAAAUGAUUAAUACGGUUCUAUGGACGUUUUUUAUGUCUGCAUUUGUUGGUUAUUCACUCUACCAGAGGAAGAGGCAAUAGUAAACGUUAUAGAGUUGAUACAGCAAAGCUAAUGCCUGACACCAUCAGUGACUGGUUCAUUUGAACAUUAACUUAACCAAAGAACAAUUUCAUAGUUUUUUGUGAUCGUCACAUUUUUAUUAGGUGACUGAUCUCCUUCUAAUCGACUUCUGAUUUAUCGCCCUUUAAAUGUAUAAUUUGUGUCUGUAUCUUUGUAAAUACCAACUAAUCUGUAACUGCUCAACAAAUCUGAG